rnacentral:rRNA from 1 species
UCGAUUCCCUUAGUAGCGGCGAGCGAAACGGGAAGAGCCCAAACCAACAAGCUUGCUUGUUGGGGUUGUAGGACACUCUAUACGGAGUUACAAAGGACGACAUUAGACGAAUCAUCUGGAAAGAUGAAUCAAAGAAGGUAAUAAUCCUGUAGUCGAAAAUGUUGUCUCUCUUGAGUGGAUCCUGAGUACGACGGAGCACGUGAAAUUCCGUCGGAAUCUGGGAGGACCAUCUCCUAAGGCUAAAUACUCUCUAGUGACCGAUAGUGAACCAGUACCGUGAGGGAAAGGUGAAAAGCACCCCGGAAGGGGAGUGAAAUAGAACCUGAAACCGUGUGCUUACAAGUAGUCAGAGCCCGUUAAUGGGUGAUGGCGUGCCUUUUGUAGAAUGAACCGGCGAGUUACGAUUUGAUGCAAGGUUAAGCAGUAAAUGUGGAGCCGUAGCGAAAGCGAGUCUGAAUAGGGCGUUUAGUAUUUGGUCGUAGACCCGAAACCAGGUGAUCUACCCUUGGUCAGGUUGAAGUUCAGGUAACACUGAAUGGAGGACCGAACCGACUUACGUUGAAAAGUGAGCGGAUGAACUGAGGGUAGCGGAGAAAUUCCAAUCGAACCUGGAGAUAGCUGGUUCUCUCCGAAAUAGCUUUAGGGCUAGCCUCAAGUGAUGAUUAUUGGAGGUAGAGCACUGUUUGGACGAGGGGCCCCUCUCGGGUUACCGAAUUCAGACAAACUCCGAAUGCCAAUUAAUUUAACUUGGGAGUCAGAACAUGGGUGAUAAGGUCCGUGUUCGAAAGGGAAACAGCCCAGACCACCAGCUAAGGUCCCAAAAUAUAUGUUAAGUGGAAAAGGAUGUGGCGUUGCCCAGACAACUAGGAUGUUGGCUUAGAAGCAGCCAUCAUUUAAAGAGUGCGUAAUAGCUCACUAGUCGAGUGACACUGCGCCGAAAAUGUACCGGGGCUAAACAUAUUACCGAAGCUGUGGAUUGUCCUUUGGACAAUGGUAGGAGAGCGUUCUAAGGGCGUUGAAGCAUGAUCGUAAGGACAUGUGGAGCGCUUAGAAGUGAGAAUGCCGGUGUGAGUAGCGAAAGACGGGUGAGAAUCCCGUCCACCGAUUGACUAAGGUUUCCAGAGGAAGGCUCGUCCGCUCUGGGUUAGUCGGGUCCUAAGCUGAGGCCGACAGGCGUAGGCGAUGGAUAACAGGUUGAUAUUCCUGUACCACCUAUAAUCGUUUUAAUCGAUGGGGGGACGCAGUAGGAUAGGCGAAGCGUGCGAUUGGAUUGCACGUCUAAGCAGUAAGGCUGAGUAUUAGGCAAAUCCGGUACUCGUUAAGGCUGAGCU